CCCGUUUGGAAUGAUUAUUACGAUGUAUGCGUAUCGCGUCAAAUUAUUGGAUAAGUCAUAUAUUUGUUUUGAAAGCAUUUUCUUAUUGGUUAAACCGAAAACCGAACCGUUAAAGACCUAAAACCGAUAAACCGAAAACCGAUAACAAAUAUCUUAUUGGUUUGGUUAUCGGUUUAGCAUAUUUAAAAACCGAAAACCGAUAAACCGAACCGAUAAUACUUAUAACCGAACCGAACCGA
rnacentral:lncRNA from 1 species